rnacentral:rRNA from 1 species
GCUUGUCUCAAAGAUUAAGCCAUGCAUGUCUAAGUAUAAACGAUUUUAUACGUGAAACUGCGAAUGGCUCAUUAUAUCAGUUAUAGUUUAUUUGAUGGUCCUUACUACUUGGAUAACCGUAGUAAUUCUAGAGCUAAUACAUGCAUCAAGCCCUGACUUCGGAAGGGGUGUAUUUAUUAGAUACAAAACCAACCCGGGCAACCGGUCCUUUGGUGAUUCAUGAUAACUUUGCGAAUCGCAUAGCUUUAAUGCUGGCGAUGGGUCAUUCAAAUUUCUGCCCUAUCAACUUUCGACGGUAGGAUAGAGGCCUACUGUGGUGAUAACGGGUAACGAAGAAUAAGGGUUCGAUUUCGGAGAGGGAGCCUGAGAAACGGCUACCACAUCCAAGGAAGGCAGCAGG